GAUGAACGCUGGCGGCGUGCCUAAUACAUGCAAGUCGAGCGAACGGACGAGAAGCUUGCUUCUCUGAUGUUAGCGGCGGACGGGUGAGUAACACGUGGAUAACCUACCUAUAAGAAUGGGAUAACUUCGGGAAACCGUAGCUUAUACCGGAUAAUAUUUUGAACCGCUUGGUUCAAAAGUGAAAGCCGGUCUUGCUGUCACUUAUAGAUGGAUCCGCGCUGCAUUAGCUAGUUGGUAAGGUAACGGCUUACCAAGGCAACGAUGCAUAGCCGACCUGAAAGGGUGAUCGGCCACACUGGAACGGAGACACGGUCCAGACUCCUACGGGAGGGAGCAGUAGGGAAUCGUCCGCAAUGGGCGAAAGCCUGACAGAGCAACGCCGCGUGAGUGAUGAAGGUCUUCGGAUCGUAAAACUCUGUUAUUAGGGAAGAACAUAUGUGUAAGUAACUGUGCACAUCUUGACGGUACCUAAUCAGAAAGCCACGGCUAACUACGUG
rnacentral:rRNA from 1 species